rnacentral:rRNA from 1 species
CGACGGCCAUACCAUGCUGAAUAUACCGGUUCUCGUUAGAUCACCGAAGACAAGCAUCACUGGGCGCGGUCAGUACUUGGUUGGAUGACCACCUGGGAACAGCGUGCCGUUGUU